AUGGACCAUUACAUCCCUUAUUCCCGUGGCUAUGCAUCGGAUUCGGAUGAUGAAGGUCCCGAUGAACAAGUUGAUGAGGAGGGAUUCACGGUGAAGGAGGCCGAAGCUUUCGAGAAGGUAUUCGGGUGGGAUCAUCGGACUACAUUGUUCAAGGAUGUUAGUCUCGCGGAUGAAACCGUGGUAGAUGGUGGCCAAGGUAUAUCUCUUGGGGUUAGGCCAAUAUCUCACCGUGAUUUGGAAGACGGCAAGAACGGGAUUGCUCGCGGGUGUAAGUUCGAAACCUUCUUGGAAUUGAAGAUGUGGCUCGACAACUACUCGGUUACGCAUUAUCGUCCACACAAGGUGGUGAACUCAGACGUCAAUGUGCACUACACGGUUGCAUGUGAGGAUGAAAAAAUUUCAUGGAUUGUGCGUGCAAGACCAUGGAAAGGAGGUCCCACUUGGCACGUAGUGAGUUGUGUACCAACUCACAUGUGCCGAGGCAAAAGGGUGGAUGGCAAGGUUGUGUCCCAAGACCACAGACAACUCAUGUCCGAGUUCAUCGCUUACAGGCUCUCCAACUCAAUAUCCACACUUCCAACAAUGAGCAUCCAACAUAUCAUGGACCUUGUGAAAGCCAUCUUUCAUUACAAGGUGAAAUACGGCAAGGCAUGGAAGGCGAAGCAAGCCGUGUUUAAGAUGUUGUAUGGUAAUUGGGGGGGAAGCAUACAACCGAAUCCCUAG
rnacentral:rRNA from 1 species